GCUCUACAAGGAAUUCAAUCAGUCUCCUCAAGGAUAACACAAAAACAUGUCAUAAUCAUGGCGGUUGUGCUCCUCGUGGCACUCUUCAUAUUCCAGCAGUGCGGUACGAGCAAAGUGAGUUUCUCAUUCUCUCCGAUCAUGCUGAUGUGGUUCGGCUCAAACAUCGCCAUUGGAGUAUACAACAUUGUUAAGUAUGAACCCUCUGUUUUCAAGGCCUUGUCUCCUCACUAUAUCAUCAUAUUUUUUUCAAGAAAUGGAGUCACUGGAUGGACUCUCCUUGGUGCUAUAUUUUUGUGCAUAACUGGGGCUGAGGCUAUGUUUGCUGAUUUGGGUCACUA